CCUCUCGGGGGUAAGCGGGCAGAACUUGCAAGUAUUGGCAAGAGAUUCAGACUUGAAUUUUGAUGGUUGAGUACUUUUGUUAAGUUGUUCAUUUGUGAACUGGCUAAUGUUGGUACUUUAAUCCAUUAAAUAUGUGUCGCAUUUCUCUUUGUCAUUCGGGUUGCAUGCAACUGAUUUUGGUAGUUUAGGUACUGAGAGUCUGUAAGUUGCUCAUUUAUGAAUGAUUUAAGUCUUGGUUUUCCAACUACUAAUGCGGUUGUAAAAAUAGCGAACAAGCGUAGACGCGGUCAAUUACUUUUACGAGUCGUGUGCGUAGAGUUUAUGGACGAGUAAUCGUAGUAUACUUUAUGUACUGGUUGUCAGUGAGAGUAACUUUGGCUUUGUUCAGUAUUGCAAUCUAAAGCAUGCGUGGUCUGCCUGU
rnacentral:rRNA from 1 species